CGGUGUUUAAUUAAUUCUUCAUUAAUAAUCUCCCACCUCAUCAUUUCCAACAGGGCGUCGUAGGUGGUGGGAUCUUGGUUUUACACGUCCCUUCAGAACAGGGUGUUUAUAUUCAAACCUCCUCUUAGGGCUGACAAAGCUUCACGAUUGGUAAGUUGCACGCAAUACGUCAUUUCGUCGGUAAAGCGUGAUAAAAAGCUUUUCAAGGAUUCUCCAUGUGCUUGCCUCAUAUCUUGAAGGCGCUGGAUGUGGGCCUCUCUCUCUUUGCCCAUCACAAACCUUUUUAGGAAAGUGGUCUUAAAUUCUGGCCAACUCUUUAUGCUCCCAGGCGGCAGUCAAC
rnacentral:lncRNA from 1 species